GCCCCGUUCGUCUAUUGGCGCAGGACACCGCACUCUCUAUGCGGGAAGACGGGUUCGACUCCCGUACGGGGCA
rnacentral:tRNA from 2 species